rnacentral:misc_RNA from 1 species
GAUGAAGAACGCAGCGAAAUGCGAUAAGUAAUGUGAAUUGCAGAAUUCAGUGAAUCAUCGAAUCUUUGAACGCACCUUGCACCCUUUGGUAUUCCGAAGGGUAUGCUCGUUUGAGUGUCAUUGUACUCUCACACUUCUAAUUCCUUUCGGGAUUGGGAGCGGUGGACUUGGGUGUUGCUGCUUUAGUUGUGGCUCACCUCAAAUAAGUUAGUGCAACUCUUGGUUGGACAUAGUACGGCGUGAUAAGUGUCUUCGCCGGCGCCUCUGUAAGGAGGGUGGCCGAUCGGGAGCUCUGUGCUUCAAACCGUCUUCGGACAAUCUUUGACAACUUGACCUCAAAUCGAGUAGGACUACCCGCUGAACUUAAGCAUAUAAUAAGCGGAGGA